rnacentral:lncRNA from 1 species
UCUCAAUGAAGUCCUAAUUUUAAUCUUAAUUGAAAUUCUAAUGAAUUUCAAUUAAAUCCUAGGUCAAAUCUUAAAUUCUAAACAAAUCUUAAAUCUUAAAUCAAACCUUAAAUAAAUCCUAAAUUCUAAAUCAAAUCCUAAACAAACCUUAAAUUCUAUAUCAAAUCUUAGAAAAAUCCUAAAUCUUAAAUCAAAUCCUAGAAAAAUCCUAAAUCUUAUAUUAAAUCCUAAAUAAAUCCUAAAUCCUAGAAAAAACCUAAACCUUGAAUCAAACCCUAAAUAAAUUCUAAAUCCUAAAUCAAAUCUUAGACAAAUCCUAAAUCCUAAACCAAAUCCUACUCAAAUACUAAAUCUUAAAUCAAAUCUUAAAUAAAUUCUAAAUCAUAAAUCAAAUCCUAAACAAACCUUGAAUCCUAAACCAAAUCCUAAACAAAUCCUAAAUCUUAAAUCAAAUCCUAAAGCAAAUUAGAACCCAAA